rnacentral:rRNA from 1 species
AACGAACGCUGGCGGCAGGCUUAACACGUGCAAGUCGAACGCCCCGCAAGGGGAGUGGCAGACGGGUGAGUAACACGUGGGAACAUACCCUUCGGUACGGAAUAGCUCAGGGAAACUUGGAUUAAUACCGUAUACGGCCGAGAGGCGAAAGAUUGAUCGCCGAAGGAUUGGCCCGCGUCCGAUUAGCUAGUUGGUGAGGUAAUGGCUCACCAAGGCGACGAUCGGUAGCUGGUCUGAGAGGAUGGCCAGCCACAUUGGGACUGAGACACGGCCCAAACUCCUACGGGAGGCAGCAGUGGGGAAUAUUGGACAAUGGGCGCAAGCCUGAUCCAGCCAUGCCGCGUGAGUGAUGAAGG